rnacentral:rRNA from 1 species
GAGCGGUAACAGGUGUAGCAAUACAUGCUGACGAGCGGCGAACGGGUGAGUAAUGCUUCGGAAUCUACCCAAUGGUGGGGAAUAACCAGCCGAAAGGUUGGCUAAUACCGCAUGAGUCCUACGGGAGAAAGCAGGGGAUCGCAAGACCUUGCGCCGAUGGAUGAGCCGAAGCCGGAUUAGCUAGUUGGCAGGGUAACGGCCUACCAAGGCGACGAUCCGUAGCUGGUAUGAGAGGACGACCAGCCACACUGGGACUGAGACACGGCCCAGACUCCUACGGGAGGCAGCAGUGGGGAAUAUUGGACAAUGGGGGCAACCCUGAUCCAGCGACGCCGCGUGUGUGAAGAAGGCCUGCGGGUUGUAAAGCACUUUUAGUGGGGAUGAAAAGCUACAGGGAUAACACCUAUGGGUAUUGACCUAACCCACAGAAAAAGCACCGGCUAACUCUGUGCCAGCAGCCGCGGUAAU